AAUGAACGCUGGCGUCGUGCCUAACACAUGCAAGUCGGAUGUGCCAGCAAUGGUGCAUGGCAGACGGGUGAGUAACGCGUAGGGAACCUACCUCUUUGUGGGGAAUAACGCUCCGAAAGGAGUGGUAAUACCGCAUGAGAUCAGCGACUGGGAUGUUGUUGAUGAAAGCUGGGGAUCGAAAGACCCAGCGCAAGGAGAGGGUCCUGCGUCUAAUUAGCUAGUUGGUGGGGUAACGGCCUAUUAAGGCGACGAUCAGUAGCCGGCCUGAGAGGGUGAUCGGCCACACUGGAACUGAGACACGGUCCAGACUCCUACGGGAGGCAGCAGUGGGGAAUUUUGCGCAAUGGACGAAAGUCUGACGCAGCAACGCCGCGUGGGUGAUGAAGGUCUUCGGAUCGUAAAACCCUGUCGUCAGGGACGAAGGUUGCAUGCCUAACAGGUGUGUAACUUGACGGUACCUGGAGAGGAAGCCCCGGCUAACUCUGUGCCAGCAGCCGCGGUAAUACAGAGGGGGCAAGCGUUAUUCGGAAUUAUUGGGCGUAAAGGG
rnacentral:rRNA from 1 species